ensembl:lncRNA
UUUUUGAAAGGAAGGAGGUAAAUUUUUAGAGAUUUACUUAUUUUUAUUUUAUGUUUACAUUUUACCGCAACAGAUGCACAUGAACCUUGUGAAAGCCUGGUGCUGAAAAGCCAGAGGAAGACAUCAGAUCUCCUAGCUCUGGAGACAUGAUUGUGAGCCACCACAGAGAUAUUGAGACUGACCCCAGGUCCUCUGCAAGAACAGAAAGUACUUUCAACAGCUGAGCCAUCUCUUCAUCCCCCAGAGGAUACACUCUUGACAAGAUGGAAACACUUUGCCUUCGCAACUUGGAAAUAUCCCAGAAGUAUUCUGUGCAGCUGCCUGGUACACCAGGGGAGGAAUGUACAGAUGCCACGGACAUGGUCCACACCAGGCCUCACUGUGCUUGAUCGUCAGGGAAGAAAGCCAGACUGCCCCACCUGCCUUGCUGACCUACAGUUAAAUAAACAUCCUCCCAGGAGAUGCACAGAGACUGUGGGCAGGGCAAAGGAAGCAGAGGAAGCUCUCCGGGGGUGAGAAUCCAGACACCCCUCAUCCCAGCCCCCAGUCCAGUUCUGAGAGCCUGGUAAGUAGUCCGCAUGUGUUUGUCAACUGAAUACAUGAAUGAAUGACCUGAUAGCACCUGUGCGGUUCAGACUGAGAGGAAGGGCAAAUGGAUACAAAAGCCAAGAUGUUGUCACUAAACUGAAUGAGCA